AGUUUCGUGGUGUAGUUGGUAUUUCACCCGGCUGCAAUAUCCGGUUAACCGGUUGGUCCCCAGUUCAACUCUGGGUGAAAGGA